rnacentral:rRNA from 1 species
UACGAGGGGGGCGAGCGUUGUUCGGAAUUAUUGGGCGUAAAGGGCGCGUAGGCGGUGCGGUAAGUCACCUGUGAAACCUCUAGGCUUAACCUAGAGCCUGCAGGCGAAACUGCCGUGCUGGAGUGUGGGAGAGGUGCGUGGAAUUCCUGGUGUAGCGGUGAAAUGCGUAGAUAUCAGGAGGAACACCGGUGGUGUAGACGGCUUUCUGGACCGUAACUGACGCUGAGACACGAAAGCGUGGGUAGCAAACAGG